rnacentral:rRNA from 1 species
UACGUAGGGCGCAAGCGUUAUCCGGAAUUAUUGGGCGUAAAGAGCUCGUAGGCGGUUUGUCGCGUCUGCCGUGAAAGUCCGGGGCUCAACUCCGGAUCUGCGGUGGGUACGGGCAGACUAGAGUGAUGUAGGGGAGACUGGAAUUCCUGGUGUAGCGGUGAAAUGCGCAGAUAUCAGGAGGAACACCGGUGGCGAAGGCGGCAUCCUGGACCGGUAUUGACGCUGAGGCGCGAAAGCUAGGGGAGCAAACGGG